rnacentral:misc_RNA from 1 species
UCUCCGUUGGUGAACCAGCGGAGGGAUCAUUGCUGGAACGCGCCCCAGGCGCACCCAGAAACCCUUUGUGAACACAACUUGUUGCUUCGGGGGCGACCCUGCCGUUUCGACGGCGAGCGCCCCCGGAGGCCUUCAAACACUGCAUCUUUGCGUCGGAGUUUAAGUAAAUUAAACAAAACUUUCAACAACGGAUCUCUUGGUUCUGGCAUCGAUGAAGAACGCAGC